rnacentral:rRNA from 1 species
CGGGCGAGGUGUCGGUCUAAGUCCCUUGGAACGGGGCGUCAGAGAGGGUGAGAAUCCCGUAUGUGACCGGUGACCGAGUCCAUGUGAAACUCCUUCGACGAGUCGAGUUGUUUGGGAAUGCAGCUCAAAAUGGGUGGUAAAUUUCAUCUAAAGCUAAAUACCGGCCAGAGACCGAUAGCGCACAAGUAGAGUGAUCGAAAGAUGAAAAGCACUUUGGAAAGAGAGUCAAAAAGUACGUGAAAUUGUUGAAAGGGAAGCGCUUGCAACCAGACCUGCCCGCGGGUGAUCAGCCGUCCUUUUGGACGGUGCACUCGCCCGUGAUCAGGCCAGCAUCGGUUCGGGCGGCCGGAUAAAGGCCUAGGGAACGUAGCUCCCUUCGGGGAGUGUUAUAGCCCUUGGUGCAAUGCGGCCAGCCUGGACCGAGGACCGCGCUUCGGCUAGGAUGCUGGCGUAAUGGUUGUAAGCGGCCCGUCUUGAAACACGGACCCAAGGAGUCUAACAUCUAUGCGAGUGUUUGGGUGUCAAACCCAUACGCGUAAUGAAAGUGAACGGAGGUGGGAACCCGCAAGGGCGCACCAUCGACCGAUCCAGAUGUUUUCGGAUGGAUUUGAGUACGAGCAUAGCUGUUGGGACCCGAAAGAUGGUGAACUAUGCCUGAAUAGGGUGAAGCCAGAGGAAACUCUGGUGGAGGCUCGCAGCGGUUCUGACGUGCAAAUCGAUCGUCAAAUUUGGGUAUAGGGGCGAAAGACUAAUCGAACCAUU